UGCGUAGGCGGGCUAAUAAGUCAGUGGUGAAAUCUCUCGGCUCAACCGGGAAACUGCCAUUGAUACUGUUAGUCUUGGGUUCGGUUGAGGUAGGCGGAAUGUGUAAUGUAGCGGUGAAAUGCUUAGAUAUUACACAGAACACCAAUUGCGUAGGCAGCUUACUAGACCGACACUGACGCUGAGGCACGAAAGCGUGGGGAGCGAACAGGAUUAGAUACCCUGGUAGUCC
rnacentral:rRNA from 1 species